AUGAACGCUAGCUACAGGCUUAACACAUGCAAGUCGAGGGGCAGCAUGGUCUUAGCUUGCUAAGGCCGAUGGCGACCGGCGCACGGGUGAGUAACACGUAUCCAACCUGCCGUCUACUCUUGGACAGCCUUCUGAAAGGAAGAUUAAUACAAGAUGGCAUCAUGAGUUCACAUGUUCACAUGAUUAAAGGUAUUCCGGUAGACGAUGGGGAUGCGUUCCAUUAGAUAGUAGGCGGGGUAACGGCCCACCUAGUCUUCGAUGGAUAGGGGUUCUGAGAGGAAGGUCCCCCACAUUGGAACUGAGACACGGUCCAAACUCCUACGGGAGGCAGCAGUGAGGAAUAUUGGUCAAUGGGCGAGAGCCUGAACCAGCCAAGUAGCGUGAAGGAUGACUGCCCUAUGGGUUGUAAACUUCUUUUAUAAAGGAAUAAAGUCGGGUAUGCAUACCCGUUUGCAUGUACUUUAUGAAUAAGGAUCGGCUAACUCCGUGCCAGCAGCCGCGGUAAUACGGAGGAUCCGAGCGUUAUCCGGAUUUAUUGGGUUUAAAGGGAGCGUAGAUGGAUGUUUAAGUCAGUUGUGAAAGUUUGCGGCUCAACCGUAAAAUUGCAGUUGAUACUGGAUAUCUUGAGUGCAGUUGAGGCAGGCGGAAUUCGUGGUGUAGCGGUGAAAUGCUUAGAUAUCACGAAGAACUCCGAUUGCGAAGGCAGCCUGCUAAGCUGCAACUGACAUUGAGGCUCGAAAGUGUGGGUAUCAAACAGGAUUAGAUACCCUGGUAGUCCACACCGUAAACGAUGGAUACUAGGUGUAGGGUGUAUUAAACAUUCUGUGCCGUCGCAAACGCAGUAAGUAUCCCACCUGGGGAGUACGGCCGCAAGGUUGAAACUCAAAGGAAUUGACGGGGGCCCGCACAAGCAGUGGAGUAUGUGGUUUAAUUCGAAGCAACGCGAAGAACCUUACCAGGCCUUGACAUCCCUUGCAGAGGUAUAGAGAUAUAUCCGAGGUUACCAAGGAGACAGGUGGUGCAUGGUUGUCGUCAGCUCGUGCCGUGAGGUGUCGGCUUAAGUGCCAUAACGAGCGCAACCCUUGUUGUCAGUUACUAACAGGAUUUGCUGAGGACUCUGACAAGACUGCCAUCGUAAGAUGUGAGGAAGGUGGGGAUGACGUCAAAUCAGCACGGCCCUUACGUCCGGGGCUACACACGUGUUACAAUGGGGGGUACAGAGGGCCGCUACCACGCGAGUGGAUGCCAAUCCCCAAAACCUCUCUCAGUUCGGACUGGAGUCUGCAACCCGACUCCACGAAGCUGGAUUCGCUAGUAAUCGCGCAUCAGCCACGGCGCGGUGAAUACGUUCCCGGGCCUUGUACACACCGCCCGUCACACCAUGAGAGUUGGAAAUACCCGAAGCCUGUGAGCUAACCUAUGAGGCAGCAGUCGAAGGUAGAGCCAAUGAUUGGGGUG
rnacentral:rRNA from 1 species